AGAGUUUGAUCAUGGCUCAGAUUGAACGCUGGCGGCAUGCCUUACACAUGCAAGUCGAACGGCAGCGCGGGAGCAAUCCUGGCGGCGAGUGGCGAACGGGUGAGUAAUACAUCGGAACGUGCCCAAUCGUGGGGGAUAACGCAGCGAAAGCUGUGCUAAUACCGCAUAAGAUCUACGGAUGAAAGCAGGGGAUCGCAAGACCUUGCGCGAAUGGAGCGGCCGAUGGCAGAUUAGGUAGUUGGUGAGGUAAAGGCUCACCAAGCCUUCGAUCUGUAGCUGGUCUGAGAGGACGACCAGCCACACUGGGACUGAGACACGGCCCAGACUCCUACGGGAGGCAGCAGUGGGGAAUUUUGGACAAUGGGCGCAAGCCUGAUCCAGCCAUGCCGCGUGCAGGAUGAAGGCCUUCGGGUUGUAAACUGCUUUUGUACGGAACGAAAAGUCUCUUUCUAAUAAAGAGGGAUCAUGACGGUACCGUAAGAAUAAGCACCGGCUAACUACGUGCCAGCAGCCGCGGUAAUACGUAGGGUGCAAGCGUUAAUCGGAAUUACUGGGCGUAAAGCGUGCGCAGGCGGUUAUGUAAGACAGUUGUGAAAUCCCCGGGCUCAACCUGGGAACUGCAUCUGUGACUGCAUAGCUAGAGUACGGUAGAGGGGGAUGGAAUUCCGCGUAGCAGUGAAAUGCGUAGAUAUGCGGAGGAACACCGAUGGCGAAGGCAAUCCCCUGGACCUGUACUGACGCUCAUGCACGAAAGCGUGGGGAGCAAACAGGAUUAGAUACCCUAGUAGUCC
rnacentral:rRNA from 1 species